ACGCUCGGCUCAGCUGUGGGGCCAGAGAACGCAGGACGCCCUGACCAUGUCCACCAUGGCCUGGUCCCCUCUGGUCCUCACCCUGGUCACUCUCUGCACAGGAUCCUGGGCCCAGGCUGUGCUGACCCAGCCGCCCUCCGUGUCCGCGUCCCCGGGCCAGAGGGUCACCAUCUCCUGCACCGGAAGCAGCAGCAACAUUGGGCUAUUGGGUGUGAGCUGGUACCAACACCUCCCAGGAUCAGCCCCGAAAACCCUGAUCUAUGAUAGUAACAAACGACCCGCGGGGGUCCCCGACCGAUGCUCUGGCACCAAGUCUGGCAACACAGGCACCCUGACCAUCACUCCGCUGCAGGCUGAGGACGAGGCUGAUUAUUACUCUGCAUCUUAUGACACUAGCAGCAAUGAUGGCACAGUGUUCCAUGCCAGAAAAUGUAAACAGAUUCUGAUACCACUGAAGUGCACCCUGAUCAUUCGUGUGAACAAGAGAGCCGUGGAGCUGAGCUCCCUCAGCCGAGAUCAGGAGCAGGAGGCUUUCCCAGAUGCGCCUUCAGCAGAGUCCGUGGACAAUCCCAGCAGGCGGAUUGUCCCCCAGGGCGUGAACUCUGCUCCUGAAAGUUCAGAGCAGAGACCUGAAGAGUGA